rnacentral:rRNA from 1 species
UGGUGGAGUGAUUUGUCUGGUUAAUUCCGUUAACGAACGAGACCUCGACCUGCUAAAUAGUUCGGUGAAGGCGUCAGCCUUCAUACGUGACUUCUUAGAGGGACUAUCGGUGGCUAGCCGAAGGAAGUUCGAGGCAAUAACA